rnacentral:rRNA from 1 species
GAUCAUUAGCGAAGCUCGGAAUGCAUGUCUGGUACUGAUGCUGCCCAGCAAUGGGAUGUGCUCGUCCGGAUGUGUGUCCCUUCUCUAUUCCACCCCACUGUGAACCAAGCGUUGUGAGCCGAAGAGAGAUCGGAGGCUUGCGCGCAACACUUAUCAUACCCCAUACGAAGUAACAGAAUGUACCUUGCGUUAACUCGCACAAAUAUAACUUUCAACAACGGAUCUCUUGGCUCUCGCAUCGAUGAAGAACGCAGCGAAAUGCGAUAAGUAAUGUGAAUUGCAGAAUUCAGUGAAUCAUCGAAUCUUUGAACGCACCUUGCGCCCCUUGGCAUUCCGAGGGGCACGCCUGUUUGAGUGUCGUGAACUCCUCCACCCUCUACCUUUUUCGAAGGGCAUUGGGAUGGGAUUUGGGAGCUUGCGGGUCCCUGGCCGAUCCGCUCUCCUUGAAUGCAUUAGCGAAGCCCUCGCGGCCUUGGUGUGAUAGUCAUCUACGCCUCGGCUUAGCGGACAUGUGGGAGUCGCUUCUAACCGUCUCGCAAGGGACAACACAUACCAACU